rnacentral:lncRNA from 1 species
UUACAAAAAGAAGGCACUUUAUUUAAGAGAAAUUCAUUUUACAAGUCAUCUUCUUUAUAAAUUUCAGGUAAAAUUUUGGAAAGGAAAAGAAAUGAAAAAGGCUGCUGAAAGAAUCUUUGCACAGAAAGUUGUUUUUAAGCUGAGGUCAAAAACUUGAAUAGCAUUUUUCAUUUUACGUGCAUCAUGAAGAAUGCAGAUCCUCAUUGUUGCAUUAUCAGUGAAUUUCAAGCCAUGCAAUUUUCCCCUAGAGAAGAAAUUCACCCAGUUGAAAAGGAUGAAUGAAUAUCGCUGGGUCAAAAAAUAUUGUAGCUGCCACCCUCCGUGAUUAGGAUUCUAUUCACUGUUGCCUUUCUGCAGAAUUCAAGAGCAACCUUCAGCACAAACGUGUUCUGAAAAGCAGUUGCUGAUGUCUUUCUAAAGCAAGAAGAGGUAAAUAACACUACUCUUGUGUGAUAUAGCUGCAUGACUGCAGUUAUCUGGGAAGGCAGGAAAAGCAGUAGUAUAUCUAAUCAGAUUUCCUGUACUUCUACAACAUCAUUUUCCAUGCUUAAGCAGAUGUAUCAGAACAAAAGAGACUGGCAGCAACUGUAAAAUAAAG